GUAUCUUGCGACUGUUUUAAAAAUUCAAUGAGAUAAAAAAAAUGCCGAAUGCUACCGGAGGUCGUUUUUAUUUUCUUUGUUCUAAGCUUCAAGACCUUGGUUGAAAUGUCCCUGGUCUGACAAAGAGCUGGUGUGAUAGAAGAAAGAAUGCGUAUUGUUAUUAUUUUACAUGAUACUACGAAGUGGAAUUGAAAGGCUAACAUGGACUCAACGAUAUUCUUUUUAUUCUCCGCUGCUCACGUGGGCUCCGUGGACCAUCAUCAUUAGGUUAGGUUAGUUUAGGUUAGACGCCUUAUAUUUGCUGUUUAUAGUUACUUACCAUAAAUCCUCCCCCGUGUAUUUCUGUAUUAAGUAUGAAGUGUUAACGUGAUGUAGGUGUGGAUGUAGGCGGCGCUCGUUCUUCUACGGCUUGAGUGAAUGGAUAUGUAGUGGGGAAAGGCUGAGUUAGUUAUAAAAAAAUGUAAUAUAUAAAGGUUGAGUUAUGGCUAGGGAAGAAAGAUGUAAUAGAAAAAAUAUGAGGUAUUAUCAGCUAAGAAUGAUGUAUCAGGGAAAGAUUGAGUCAGUUAAGAAAGAUGUAAUAGAGAAAAGUUGAGGUAUUGUCAGUUAAGAAUGAUGUAUCAGGGAAAGGUUGAGUUAGUUAAGAAAGAUGUAAUAGAGAAAAGUUGAGGUAUUGUCAGCUAAGAAGGAUGUAACAGGGAAAGGUUGAGUUAGUUAAGAAAGAUGUAAUAGAGAAAAGUUGAGGUAUUGUGAGCUUAGAAUGAUGUAUCAGGGAAAGGUUGAGUUAGUUAAGAAAGAUGUAAUAGAGAAAAGUUGAGGUAUUGUCAGCUAAGAAGGAUGUAUCAGGGAAAGGUUGAGUUAGUUAAGAAAGAUGUAAUAGAGAAAAGUUGAGGUAUUAUCAGCUAAGAAUGAUGUAUCAGGGAAAGGUUGAGUUAGUUAAGAAAGAUGUAAUAGAGAAAAGUUGAGGUAUUAUCAGCUAAGAAUGAUGUAUCAGGGAAAGGUUGAGUUAGUUAAGAAAGAUGUAAUAGAGAAAAGUUGAGGUAUUAUCAGCUAAGAAUGAUGUAUCAGGGAAAGGUUGAGUCAGUUAAGAAAGAUGUAAUAGAGAAAAGUUGAGGUAUUGUCAGUUAAGAAUGAUGUAUCAGGGAAAGGUUGAGUUAGUUAAGAAAGAUGUAAUAGAGAAAAGUUGAGGUAUUGUCAGCUAAGAAUGAUGUAUCAGGGAAAGGUUGAGUUAGUUAAGAAAGAUAUAAUACAUAAAGGUUGAGUUAUGGUCAGCUAAGAAGAAUGUAAUUAGGAAAUGUUGAGUUAGUUAAGAAAGAUGUGAUAGGGAAAUGUUGUGUUAUGGUUAGGUAAGAAAGAUGUAGUAGGGAAAA